rnacentral:rRNA from 1 species
GACGAACGCUGGCGGCGUGCUUAACACAUGCAAGUCGAACGGAAAGGCCCUGCUUUUGUGGGGUGCUCGAGUGGCGAACGGGUGAGUAACACGUGAGUAACCUGCCCUUGACUUUGGGAUAACUUCAGGAAACUGGGGCUAAUACCGGAUAGGAGCUCCUGCUGCAUGGUGGGGGUUGGAAAGUUUCGGCGGUUGGGGAUGGACUCGCGGCUUAUCAGCUUGUUGGUGGGGUAGUGGCUUACCAAGGCUUUGACGGGUAGCCGGCCUGAGAGGGUGACCGGCCACAUUGGGACUGAGAUACGGCCAAGACUCCUACGGGAGGAAGCAGUGGGGACUAUUGCACAAUGGGCGGAAGCCUGAUGCAGCAACGCCGCGUGCGGGAUGACGGCCGUAGGGUUGUAACCCGCUUUCGCCUGUGACGAAGCGUGAGUGACGGUAAUGGGUAAAGAAGCACCGGCUAACUACGUG